CUCACAUCCUGCCUUCUAACAAGGGAGGGGAAAGAAGGAGGGUAUAUGUAUGUGUAUGUAUAUACAUUGUACUGGAUUAUAAGUGACCCAAUUCUUUGUAACAGAAUUGCUGUACUUUGCUUGUAACAUGGUAAAAAAAAGAAAAAAGAAAGAAGGAGGGAUCCGGAGAAGACAACACAGAAAGUUGGACAGUUUUUACCUGGUGCCGUCUCUCCUGCUCCUCUCUGCUCUUCUCCAUCUCUUCCCUUAAAGUACGAUUAGCCAGAGAGCUGUUGUUCUCCAACUGAGUCUUCAACUCCUCCAACUCAGCUUGCUGCCUGCAACACACACACACACAGCUGCUCUCGGAGCUCCUCGAUCUGUCGGACAUAGCGCUGUGCUGCUCUCUCAUCUGCUUGCAGCAAUUCGGCCUCGUGCAGCACCUUCAGCUUCUUCAGCUCCUGCUUGUGCUUGGAGAUCAGCUUUUGGA